rnacentral:rRNA from 1 species
AUACGGAAGGUCCGGGCGUUAUCCGGAUUUAUUGGGUUUAAAGGGAGCGCAGGCGGAGAUGCAAGCGUGACGUCAAAUUUCGAGGCUCAACCCCGUCUCGCGUCGCGAACUUCGUCCCUUGGUUGCGGGAAGGGGAGGCGGAACUCGUGGUGUAGCGGUGAAAUGCAUAGAUAUCACGAAGAACUCCGAUCGCGAAGGCAGCCUUCCGGCCCGUCAACGACGCUCAUGCUCGAAGGUGCGGGUAUCAAACAGGAUUAGAUACCCUGGUAGUCCGCACAGUAAACGAUGGACACCCGCGGUUUGGCCUGUAUGGCUGAGCCGCCAAGCGAAAGCGUUAAGUGUCCCACCUGGGGAGUACGCCGGCAACGGUGAAACUCAAAUGAAUUGGCGGGG